UAUUAAUUCGUCAAAAGGGCGAAAGUGUUUUUUGUAAACAAACUUGUUUCGCUCAUUAGUCUGCUGCAGAGUGGAAUUUCAUGAAAAAUAUGCGUUAAUGUAAAUUUUUACCCUUCGUAGAAGUAAUUUCAAUUGUUUUCUGCUUUGAAAUUAUAGUAAAUUAAGAGAAACCAUCAAAAUAAAAGUUUGUUUACAAAUCUUAUUCGCCCUUUUGUAAAUUUAAUAUGGAGUUGACUAUAAAUAUUGCAUUAUUCAACAAUCUGUUUUCAACUAUAGUAUACCAAGAAGCGCAGUGCUAGUUCAGCAACACAGAAAUAUACCUCAGAAGAAUCAACUUUCACCGCUGACCAGUGCGGUCGAGAAAAUUUCCGGCGAAUCCAAUGCAGCAACAACGUCCACUUGCAGUACCGCAAUACAAAGCCACAAAGCGAUCCAACAGCGUGGGAAAUUUUAUCAUCGCAAAAUUUUAUAUCAGCACAACAGCUAUACCAAAAGCGAUACCACGUCGAUGGCCGAAAUGAUUUUUGGUUCUGCACCUAUAGUCUUCCAGGACAGCAGUUUGAAGUAGCCAACAGUAGCAGCAACAGCAGUAAAAAAGUAUCCACUUCCACCUACUUG